UAAAUAGGGUGCGAGCGUUAUUCGGAAUCAUUGGGCCUAAAGCGUGCGUAGGCGGCUUUUUAAGUCGGAUGUGUAAUCCCCGAGCUUAACUUGGGAAUUGCAUUCGAUACUGGGAAGCUAGAGUAUGGGAGAGGAUGGUAGAAUUCCAGGUGUAGCGGUGAAAUGCGUAGAGAUCUGGAGGAAUACCGAUGGCGAAGGCAGCCAUCUGGCCUAAUACUGACGCUGAGGUACGAAAGCAUGGGGAGCAAACAGG
rnacentral:misc_RNA from 1 species